UACAGAGGCCACGAGCGUUAGGCGGAAUCACUGGGCUUAAAGCGUGUGUAGGUGGAUGGGUAAGUACCUUGUGAAAUCCCACGGCUCAACCGUGGAAAUGCUUGGUAUACUGCCUGUCUUGAGGCACUCAGGGGCGAGCGGAACAGAUGGUGGAGCGGUGGAAAUGCGUAGAUAUCAUCUGGAACGCCAAUGGUGAAGACAGCUCGCUGGGGGUGUACUGACACUGAGACACGAAAGCCAGGGGAGCAAACGGG
rnacentral:rRNA from 1 species